rnacentral:rRNA from 1 species
AUUGAACGCUGGCGGCAGGCCUAACACAUGCAAGUCGAGCGAGCGGCGGACGGGUGAGUAAUGUCUGGGAAACUGCCUGAUGGAGGGGGAUAACGACUGGAAACGGUAGCUAAUCACUCAUAGCAUCAGGUGUGCCCAGAUGGGAUUCGCUAGUAGGUGGGGUAACGGCUCACCUAGGCGACGCUCCCUAGCUGGUCAGAGAGGAUGACCAGCCAAACUGGAACUUGGCCACGGUCCAGACUCCGAGGGGAGGCAGCAGUGGGGAAUAGUGCACAAUGGGCGCACGCCUGAUGCAGCCAUGCCGCGUGUGUGAAGAAGGCCGUCGGGUUUUAAAGCACUUUCAGCGGGGAGGCGUUACCCGCAGAAGAAGCACCGGCUAACUCCGUGCCAGCCGCCGCGGUAAUAC